UGGGGAAUUGUUCGCAAUGGGCGCAAGCCUGACGACGCAACGCCGCGUGGAGGAUGAAGGUCUUCGGAUUGUAAACUCCUGUUGCCCGGGACGAAAAGCUUCAACCUAAUACGUUGAAGUCUGACGGUACCGGGUGAGGAAGCCCCGGCUAACUCUGUGCCAGCAGCCGCGGUAAUACAGAGGGGGCAAGCGUUGUUCGGAAUUACUGGGCGUAAAGGGCGCGUAGGUGGCCUGCUAAGUCGAACGUGAAAUCCCUGGGCUCAACCCAGGAACUGCGUCCGAGACUGGUUGGCUUGAAUCCGGGAGAGGGAUGUGGAAUUCCAGGUGUAGCGGUGAAAUGCGUAGAUAUCUGGAGGAACACCGGUGGCGAAGGCGACAUCCUGGACCGGUAUUGACGCUGAGGCGCGAAAGCCAGGGGAGCAAACGGGAUUAGAUACCCCGGUAGUCCUGGCCCUAAACGAUGAAUGCUUGGUGUGGCGGGUAUCGAUCCCUGCCGUGCCGAAGCUAACGCAUUAAGCAUUCCGCCUGGGGAGUACGGUCGCAAGGCUGA
rnacentral:rRNA from 1 species